AGAGAAAGAAGGAAAGAGCUACAGACAUGUUUCGAAAAAUCUUAGCUGACAAGCCUCAUGUAAUUUGUAUUCCUUUUCCAACUCAAAGCCAUGUAAAGGCAAUGCUUAAACUAGCAAAACUACUGCAUUACCGAGGUUUUCACAUAACCUUUGUGAACACAGAGUUCAACCAUAGACGCAUGCUUGAAUCUAGAGGCCCUUCUUCCCUGAAUGGCUUGCCCGACUUUCGGUUCGAAUCUAUCCCAGAUGGCCUCCCUCCUUCAGAUGAGAAUGCUACCCAAGAUGUACAAGCACUUUUUGAGGCUUGCAUGAAGAACUUGCUAGCUCCAUUUAAUGAAUUGCUUGCCAAGCUCAAUGAUACAGCAUCUUCUGAUGUUCCUCAAUUGACUUGCAUUGUAUCUGAUGGAUUUGUUCCAGCUGCCAUCACUGCUGCUCAGAGGCAUGGAAUUCCUGUUGCUUUGUUCUUUUCUAUCUCUGCUUGCAGUUUCAUGGAGUUUAAGCAAUAUAAAGAGCUCAAAGAAAGAGGACUGUUUCCAUUAAAAGGUAAGAGCAAGAAUUGGAAUUGAAAUCACAACUUCAUUAUGAUUUUCUGUUAUUUCAUUUGGGCAUUAGAUAAAUAUCCUAGUAGUUCAUGUGCUGCAUCAUCGUAGCCGUCAUCCAUCGAAAUAAAUAGAUUACUACAUUAACUGAUCAGUUCAUAUGGACUAAGACUUUCUGAUUGAAUGGUACAAUAUCCUGGUAGUUUAUGCUGGAUCAUGGUUAUCAUUCCAGGGUAGCCCUUCGGCUGCGUAACCUGAAAUUUGAUUUCAAGCUAGGGAACCUUUCUUCUCUUCUGAUUUUACGCUAAUUCCUCUUCUGCUGUUGUCUUCAUUUACUAGCCCAUACUGGUAUACUACAUAUGCAUUUAAUUUUUGUUCGCAGACGAGAGCUUUUUAACAAAUGGCUAUUUGGAUCAAGUACUAGACUGGAUUCCAGGAAUGAAAGAUAUACGAUUGAGGGAUCUUUCAAGUUUUCUUCGUACAACAGAUCCAGAUGAUUACCUUUUCAACUUCUGCAUGGAAUGUGCUGAGAGAGCUUCUGAAGGUUCUGCAGUGAUUUUCCAUACUUUUGAUGCUUUGGAGAAAGAAGUCUUGAGUGCUCUUUACUCAAUGUUUCCUCGUGUCUACACGAUCGGUCCACUUCAAUUACUUCUCAAUCAAAUGAAAGAAGAUGAUCUAGAUUCUAUUGGAUAUAAUCUAUGGAAAGAAGAGGUUGAGUGUCUCCAAUGGCUUGAUUCCAAGAAACCAAACUCCGUGCUUUAUGUGAAUUUUGGUAGCGUAGCGGUCGCCACAAAGCAGCAGCUGAUUGAAUUGGGAAUGGGACUUGCUAAAAGUGGUCACCCAUUUUUAUGGAUAAUAAGGCCUGACAUGGUCACAGGCGACUCCGCCAUAUUGCCACCAGAAUUCACUGACGAGACUAAAGACAGAGGAUUUAUUUCAAACUGGUGUCCACAAGAGGAAGUUCUGAACCACCCAUCAAUAGGAGGCUUCCUAACACAUAGUGGAUGGAAUUCAAUAGCUGAGAGCAUUUCUUCUGGGGUGCCCAUGCUUUGUUUGCCGUUCUUUGGUGAUCAACAAACGAACUGUAGGUACACUUGCAAUGAGUGGGGCAUUGGAAUGGAGAUUGAUAGCAAUGCGGAAAGAGAUAAAAUGGAGAAGCUUGUGAGAGAGUUGAUGGAGGGAGAGAAAGGUAAGAGCAUGAAGAAGAAAGCCAUGGAGUGGAAAAAACUAGCAGAGGAGGCCAAUGGUCCAAGUGGUUCAUCGUCUAUGAAUUUAGACAAAUUGGUGAAGGAAGUGCUUUUGUCGUGAAAAAAUAAAACUGCAUGCUAAACUAAAGACAGUUAAAGCUGAAGACGAAUGUAUUGUUCUCAAGGUGACAUGGUGGUUUCAUUGUAAUGAAGUGAAUUUUUAUUUUUGACCUUUUUGUGUGAAGAUUGAAGAAAGGGGCUGCAAGCCCUCAAAAUAAAUUACAAUAGGCGAGGAGAGGAAAGGCAGAACCAAUGAGAUCACGAUGCAAUACAGGGAGCAAUAUAUUGUUGAGGUAAACUCGAUCGUAUAUGAGUUGUGAAAACAUAUCAAGAACUAGCUGUGCAGCUGCUCUCUGCUGUCUGCUCGACAGGCAGUAUUUUCAUCAAUUUACUUUUAGAUUCACCCCCUUUUAAUGGCCGAAGAUUGAGAAAGUACUAUAAUUUUAUUUAUUAUAGUAAAAACUAAAAGAGCCAAGGUUUUCCUUUGGCAAUUUUCGAUGUUUAUUACUGCUCAUCCUCUUAUAUUUCACCUUGGAUUUCAACAGUGUUUUUUUCUUUUCUUUUUUAUAAACUUUUAAUUUGGUCUUCAAAAUUUUAUUUUGUAUAAUUGAGUUUUUUGAGUUCAAAAAAGGAACAAACGACACUGUUUAUUCUCUUUAUCUUUUACCCGGUUAAAAUUGGUUUGUAUUAAUCAAUCUUAGAAACAAUACAAAUAAAAUAGGAGGAGAUAAAACUCUCUCAACUCAACUCUACUAUCUCAAGCUUUCUCUAUUCUUCUCUGUUCUCUUUUCUCGAUGUUUCACGCAACUGUAACUCUCUUCUUCUCCUCACAAUUUAUCACGCACACAAACAGCUCAUAUACAUAUACAAUGGUGGGAGGUGAAGGGGCAUAAAUCAUGCCAUGAUUUAUGCCAUCCAUUUGUGUCCUCCACCAUAUGCAAAGUGGGAAAUUAGGUAUUCCCACUUGCACAUGGUGGGACAUUGUUGUCUCCAUAAUGCUAACAUCAACAAUUGAGAGCCUUUCUUCUGGUGUGCCUAUGCUUUGUUGGCGAUUCUUUGCAGAUAAGCAAACAAACUGUAGGUACACUUGCAAUGAGUGGGGCAUUGGAAUGGAGAUUGAUAGCAAUGCGGAAAGAGAUAAAGUGGAGAAGCUUGUGAGAGAGUUGAUGGAGGGAGAGAAAGGUAAGAGCAUGAAGAAGAAAGCCAUGGAGUGGAAAAAACUAGCAGAGGAGGCCAAUGGUCCAAGUGGUUCAUCGUCUAUGAAUUUAGACAAAUUGGUGAAGGAAGUGCUUUUGUCGUGAAAAAAUAAAACUGCAUGCUAAACUAAAGACAGUUAAAGCUGAAGACGAAUGUAUUGUUCUCAAGGUGACAUGGUGGUUUCAAUGUAAUGAAGUGCUUUUUUAUUUUUAACCUUUUUGUGUGAAGAUUGAAGAAAGGGGCUGCUGCAAGCCCUCAAAAUAAAUUACAAUAGGCGAGGAGAGGAAAGGCAGAACCAAUGAGAUCACGAUGCAAUACAGGGAGCAAUAUAUUGUUGGGAGGGAAUUAUUUUUUAUUUGGUUUGGAUUUUAGCUAUAAAAAAUAAUUAAAUUAAAAUUUUAUAUAUAAAAAAAACUUAAAUCAAUCCAAAAUAAAUAUAACCGACUAGUUUGGAUUUGGUUCGGUUUGGUUUUUAUAUUAAAGUAAAAACUAAAAGAGCCAAGGUUUUCCUUUAGCAAUUUUUGAUGUUUAUUAAUGCUUCAACAGUGUAUUUUUUUAUAAACUUUUAAUUUGAUUUUCAAAAUUUUAUUUUGUAUAAUUGAGUUUUUUGAGUUCAGAAUAUGAGUAAAAUAAGAUAAAUACCAAAAACACCAUGCCUUUCAUUGUGUGUACCAAGGACCUGAUUUGAAAUAAAGAUCUUGUAUGCAAAUAUACACCAUGCCUUAUAUGUAUAUAUUUCUAUUGCACUGACAUAUUUUUUCAUAUGCUUAACUCUCUGGCAGAGAAGUGUGUGUCUGUCUGUAUAUGUAUAUAUUGAACUAAUGAUUGCUUAGUAUUAAUGUUCCCGAAGGACAAAACAUCAUAUCUACGUCCAAAUGGUUCAAUGAAUUUGGGUUCCUGCUGACUGAAUCCCUUACAAACACUACACGCUACGCUUCUUUUCAUGAAAAAUCUCGCCUAACAAGUCAAAGGUUGAAUAACUUAACUUUCAUUUAUGGGAAAUAUCUUUAUUGAUGGCUUGUUAUGUAAUAAAAAAAUCAUAAAAUUUUAUGAUAUUUAGACAUAGAAUAGAGCAAUUAUAUGAAUGUAGAUAAAUCAAUAUAUAUUUUUUGAAUUAAAUGAAUCUUAUCAAUAUUUUGUGAAUUUCGAUGAUAAAUCUAAAAUUUUUAUUAUAAAAAAAGGGAUGAUAAUAAUCCAAACCAAAAAUAAUAUUGUUUAUAAAAACUAAAAGAGCCAAGGUUUUCCUUUGGCAAUUUUCGAUGUUUAUUACUGCUCAUCCUCUUAUAUUUCACUUUGGAUUUCAACAUUUUUUUUUUUUUUAUAAACUUUUAAUUUGGUCUUCAAAAUUUUAUUUUGUAUAAUUGAGUUUUUUGAGUUCAAAAGAGGACCAGAUGACACUGUUCAUUGUCUUCUUCUUUUACCCGGUUAAAGUUGGUCUGGUCGCCUACUUUUCAGGUGCAUUUAAUGCACCAAACAUCCAUCAAAUUUAACCAAACUUGCACGGAAAUGAUCCUCUACAGUCACUCUACACCCCCAUGUGAAUAGUUUAGUCUGAAUGGCAACCAAGUAGCGCUGACCUAAACAUGCCAACUCAGACAACUUUUUUUGCAGAUUUGACAGUGCCCUAUGCUUACUUUGAGUCAACGGUUUGAAUCCUUCCUAAAAGAAUCAAGGGCUGAAAUUUUACCCCGGUGAAGACGAGAUUACCCUCUUCCACCACCUAUAAAUAGAGGCGGAGUUGAUGGCUUGAGGGAGGAGAAAAUUGGGUCCAAAAUCAGCCAAAAGCCAGCCCUUUUGCCCCAUUUCUGUAGUUUUUUUUCCUCCAUCUCUCUCCCCGCCGUUCCAGCCAACAAACCGGAGCCACCACCAGCUACACCACAGGAACCCAACACAAUUGCCAACAGACCACCAAGAGCCACCUUCGAUUUCUCUUUCCUCUCUGCAGCCCCUCCCGUUUUCUUCUUCUUCUUUUUCUUCCUUUGCCACCAGCCACCAUCUUUGCCACAGCCUCAGUUACCUUCAUCACGCCAGCCCCUCACUAUCUCCACUACCAGCGGUCGCCUUAACUCCUCACCAAAGGCAAAGCAUACACCGCUGGUCCCUCUCUCUCUCCUGCAGAUUUUCUUCUCCUUCUUUCUUCCUGCUCUGCCACUAGCAACCGCCGGUCUCACCACCGCACGACGUCCUCCGUGGCCAGAUCACCACCGUGCCUAGUAGCCUUCUUCUCCACCCAUCUCCAACUUCUGCAACCAUUUGGUUGCAUGCAGAACGUGAACAAUAACUGUUCACAUUCUACAACUGUGCAACAUAAAUUUUUUUAAUGUAUUAAUAUAAUAAUAUAUUAUAUGUUAUUAUUAUAUUUUAAAAAAAAACAAAAAAAUUCAAAAAAUCUUUUGAAAUUUUUUUUUGAUUUUCUCAAAUAGUUUUCUACCAAUUUUGCAUAUAUCGGGUUGUAUAAUUACAUUGUAAAAUACAAAUCUGGUAUUAAAAUACCCGGUUUUCUCCGAAAUAUUUUUUUAAAAAAUCAAAACAUUUUUUUUUAAAAAUAUUUUUUUAUUGCAUACGACCAAAUCCUAAAAUUUUUCCAAGUAUAUUUUUCUUAAAAAAACAAAAAUUGCAUCUUUUUCAUGUUUGAAAAACAAAAUCCAAAAAUUGAUAUCGUUACCAGUUUAUGAUUAUCCAUUAGGAUUUGACCAACAUGUCAAAAAUCUUUUUAAAAUUUUUUUAGGAUUCAGAUGUAGACUUUAAUAUUUGUGGGUUGUAAAAUUACACGAUAAAGUACACCCUCGGGUAUUAAAGAUACAAGGUGUAGAAAUGCGAUGUUAAAAUUUAGACUUUAGAACAGUUAGGAUUUAACCCAAUAAAGUAGAGACUCUCUCAUGAAGAGAGAUCUACCUUGAGCCUUAGAAAGACCAAUAAAAAUCAAUUAAACAACAAUGCAGCUUACCUUGGGUAGGAUGCACUAGGGGUGAUGCGUCUUCCCCUUGCACAAUCAGUCCCUUACUUAGACUCUCGUAGAUCAUAGGUUCCUAGUGACCAUAAUACUAGGUGGCGACUCCUAAACAUUAGUCAUAAUUUUAUGAUUAAAUCCAAAAAACCUUCCCAACACACCACACCUCUCAUCAGGAGGCACGACAAAGAGCCUUCAUCGUCGCCAGACGACGUCGCGCCCCCCGCGACAAUACUCAUCCUAAAUAAUAGGAUGGCAUUCACUAUGCAAAUGUCUAUAGCAUCCUCUUUUUUUUUUUGAAUUUUAAAUUAAUUGAUAAUUAAAAUUUAUAAUUUAAUAAUUAGUUUUAUAUGAGAUUAUUUUAGUAUAAUGAUCCGGGUUGCAAGUUUGACAUGUUGAUUCAAGUUAUUUUUACAAUUUACUUUCUAUAAUAUUAUUCUAGUCUCAUGAUAUGAGUUAUAAGUUUGAUGGGUUUAACUGGAUUUACUCAGGUUAUGUGUGUGUGUGUGUAAUUUUUUCUUAAUUUUAUCAUUUAACAUUAAGUAGAUAGGUAGAUUGAAAAUUAGACUUUAUAAUUUAUUUCAAUUUACUUUCUAUGAGGUUAUCCUAACAUUAUAAUUCGAGUUAUGGGUUUGAUAUAUUAUUUUUGGGUUGACUCAAGUCUUUUUUUUUUCUUAUGUUUUAAUUAUUUUAUUUUCAAUUUCAUCAUUUAAUAUAUAUUGGGUUGUUUGGGAAAUGAACUUCAUAUUUUUUUUUGAUUUUAUUUAUAUAAAGUUAUUAUAUUCUUAUGAUUUAGGUCGUGGAUUUUGUCAGAGAACCAUCUCAACCCAAUAGUUUAAGCUGUUAGGUGAGGUUCAGGAUAUAAUUUAUAUUAUUCUCUAACACACCCUUCAAGUGAAAGCCCUUUAGGCUUGAAACUUGCACAUGCUUACAUUACCUUAUGCUUAAUUUUUAUCAAAUAAAUGGGGGUUGUGAGAUUCGAACUCGUGACCACUUGGUCAUUAAGGCUAUGAUACCAUGUCAGAGAACCAUCUCAAUACAAUACCUUAAGAUGUUAGCUGAAGUUCCAGGAUAUAAUUUAUAUUAUUCUCUAACAUAUUUAACAUGUUAACUCAGAUUGAUAUAAGUAGAUUUAAUAUGAUCUCAAAUUUAUUUAUUUUUUAUAUAAAUAUAUUAAAAUCAUGAAAAAUACUAAAAAGACAAUUUAAUAUUUUUUUUCAAGAUAAAUAAUAUUCUAAAAAUCACUUGGAAGGAAGAGCAACAUUAAUUUCACAAGAUUUUUCAUGAAAAGAAGCGUGGCGUGUAGUGUUUGUGAAGGAUUCAGUCAGCAGGAACCCAAAUUCAUUGAACCAUUGGACGUGAAUAUGAUGUUUUGUCCUUGGGGAAAAUUAAUAUCAAGCAAUCAUUAGUUUAAUAUUUUUGCAGUGAUUUCAACCCAGAUGAAAUGGUAAUAUUGGUGAGAAUAUUCGUGCCUUUAUGACUUUGCCAAGAUGUAAUGGCAAUUUCUACGUUCUUAUCAAAUGCAAAGAUAAUAAUUGACAGCCCUGAUAUUUAAUUUGUGUUUCAUGCCAUAAUAGACUGGAAAAACAGUGUGCGGUCGCAUCUCAUUCAUGAAUCUGAGUACAAAUACGUCCAAGCAGCAAGGUGAAUCAGCACAAUAUCCUGCAAAGAUAAUAAUUGACAGCCCUGAUUCUUGACUACAAAAAAAAAAAAAAAAAAUACUUGAGAUGUUGAUCGUGUUGUGAUUGGACACAAUGAACCUCUCUUCGCUUCUACGAAGAAGAUGAAAUUGAUGAUCUGUCCUCCUUCUUUCUUAUGAAAUCUUAACUCAGAGGUUUUAUUCGAUGACCCGUUAGCUCGGAGUUCAGCCGGGGCUGAGUUUGGUUUUGAAUUGUUGAAGAAGUUGAUCGAUCAAACUUGAGUGGUUUAUGAGAAUUUGCGGCCUAAAUAAUCUAGUCAAUGUUUUAUGAUAUAUAUAUAUAUAUAUAUAAACAAUGUUAUUUCAAUUUAUUUAUUUAUUUUUAAUAAAAUAACAUUAUUUUAAUAAAAUUUAAUAAAUUCAAGUUAACCCAUCUUUAAUUAAAAGAGUUUCAUAUUUUUUAAAGACCAUGAUUUGUCAUAAAAAUAAUGUAUGUUAUGUUAAUUUAAUAUGUCUUGUAAUCAAUAAGUUAAUCACACAUUAUAUUAUUAUAUUAAUAUAUUUUUUAAAUAAAAAAUAUUUUAAAAAAUAAUCACUACCACACUUUCCAACACUAAAAACAAUCUCUUGCAAAGAUAAUAAUUGACAGCCCUUAUUCUUUAUAUAUAUAAAAGAAAAAACCUUCAGAUGUUGAAGGUGUGUGAUUGGACACAGUGAACCUCUCUUCGCUUCUGGGAAGAAGAUUAAUUGAUCUGUCCUCCUUCGUUCUUUUAUAACAGACAGCAUAGUUAUAAAAUCUUAACUCAGUGGUUUCAUUCAAUGAUCCGUUAACUUGGAGUUCAGCCCUAGCUAAGUUUUGUUUUGAAUGGUUGAACAAGUUCAUCGAUGAAACUUGAGUGAUUUGAUGAGAAUUUGCGACCUAAGCAAUCUAGUCAAUGUUUUAGUAAAUUUAUAUCCAAAAAAAAAAAACGUAGUUUUUAAUUAAUUUUUUUAAGAAAACAAUAUCAUUUAAAAAAAAAAAAAAAACUCAAUCCGAGUUCCAACUUUUUCCUUAUAAAAACACCCUUACCUUUCAUUGGGUGUAUACACGUACAAAAAUUGUAGCUUUGCUCUAUAUAGGGACAGAAUCUCUAUAUUGUGUAGGCAAUAUAUAGAGCAAAUAUAGAAAGAAAGUAAGAAACAAAGAAUUAGAGAGAUGAUUUUUAAUAUUUUAGCUGACAAGCCUCAUGCAGUUUGCAUUCCCGGCCCAGCUCAGAGCCACAUUAAGUCAAUGCUUAAGCUAUCAAAAUUACUACAUUACAAAGGUUUUCACAUAACCUUUGUCAACACAGAGUUUAAUCAUAAACGUUUGCUUAAAUCUAGAGGUCCUGAUGCCAUGAAUGGCUUGCCCGAUUUUCGGUUUGAAUCCAUUCCAGAUGGCCUCCCUCCUUCGAAUGAGAAUGAAACCCAAGAUGUCGCUGCACUUUGUGAGGCUGCCAAGAAGAACUUAUUAGCUCCGUUUAAUGACCUCCUCGACAAGCUUAAUGAUUCAGUAUCUUCUAAUGUGCCUGCAGUGACUUGCAUCGUCUCUGAUGGUUUCAUGCCCGUCGCUAUCGAUGCUGCUGAGAUGCGCCAAAUUCCGAUUGCUUUGUUCUUCACCAUCUCUGCUUCCAGCUUCAUGGGAUUUAAACAAUUUCAAGCACUCCGAGAAAAAGGUCUUACACCACUGAAAGGUAUGAGCAAGGAAAAAAAAAAUGUAACUAUAUAUAUUUUGAUUGGGAUUUUCUACUAGUUCAUUGGAUGGUCCGUGAACAAGGGAAAAAGAUCAUUUUUAUUCAUUGACGUUGCAUUACCUUUUAUCAAAAAGCUAAUAUAUGAAUUCAAUUUUAUUUUUUUUGUUGCAGAUGAGAGCUUUUUAAGUAAUGGCUACUUGGACAGAGUUGUAGAUUGGAUCCCAGGAAUGAGAGAUAUAAGGCUAAGAGACCUUCCAAGUUUUGUUCGUACAACAGAUCCAAAUGAUUUUAUGUUUAAAUACUGCUUGGAAUGUACUGGGCGGGCUUCUGAAGGUUCUGCAGUUAUUUUCCAUACUUUUGAUGUUUUGGAGCAAGAAGUUCUGGAUGCCCUUUACUCUAUGUUUCCUCGAGUCUAUACGAUCGGUCCACUUCAAUUGCUUCUCAAUCAGAUACAAGAAGUAUAUCUAAGUUCUAUCGGAUGCAAUCUUUGGAAAGAAGAGGUUGAGUGUCUCCAAUGGCUUGAUUCCAACAAAACCAAGUCAGUAAUAUAUGUGAAUUUUGGUAGCAUAACAACCGUUACGAAGGAACAGCUCGUUGAGUUUGGCAUGGGACUUGCUAAAAGUGGCCAUCCAUUUUUAUGGAUAAUAAGGCCUGAUAUGGUCACUGGCGACUCCACGAUAUUGCCUCCAGAAUUCACUGAAGAAACCAAGGAAAGAAGCUUUAUUUGUGGUUGGUGUCCGCAAGAGGAAGUCCUCAACCACCCAUCAAUAGGAGGUUUCCUAACACAUAGUGGAUGGGGUUCAACAAUUGAGAGCCUUUCUUCUGGUGUGCCUAUGCUUUGUUGGCCAUUCUUUGCUGAUCAGCAAACAAACUGUAGGUACACAUGCUCUGAGUGGGGAAUUGGAAUGGAGAUUGAUAACAAUGUGAAAAGAGAUAAAGUGGAGAAGCUUGUGAGAGAGUUGAUGGAGGGAGAGAAAGGUAAGAGCAUGAAGAAGAAAGCCAUGGAGUGGAAAAAACUAGCAGAGGAGGCCAAUGGUCCAAGUGGUUCAUCGUCUAUGAAUUUAGACAAAUUGGUGAAGGAAGUGCUUUUGUCGUGAAAAAAUGAAACAGCAUGCUAAACUAAAGACAGUUAAAGCUGAAGACGAAUGUAUUGAUCUCAAGGUGACAUGGUGGUUUCAUUGUAAUGAAGUGCUUUUUUUUUUUUUUUUUUCACCUUUUUGUGUGAAGAAAGGGGCUGAAAGCCCUCAAAAGAAAUUACAGUAGGCGAGGAGAGGAAAGGCAGAACCAAUGAGAUCACGAUGCAAUACAGGGAGCAAUAUAUUGUUGAGGUAAACUCGAUCGUAUAUGAGUUGUGAAAACAUAUCAAGAACUAGCUGUGUUGCUCUUUGCUCGACAGGCAAUAUUUUCAUCAAUUUACUUUUAGAUUCACCCCCUUUUAAUGGCCGAAGAUUGAGAAACUAUUAUAAUUUUAUUUUAUUAUAGUAAAAACUAAAAGAGUUAGAGGUUUUCCUUUAGCAAUUUUCGAUGUUAAUUACUGUUCAUCCUUUUAUAUUUUACUUUGAAUUUCAGCAUUGUAUUUUUUUAUAUAUAAAUUUUUAAUUUAAUCAUCAGAUUUUUAUUUUGUAUAAUUAAGUUUCUUGAGUGCAAAUUUAAACCUAAUUACAUAUUAUUUUGAGAGUGAAAGUUGAAUUGCAAGAUAAAGAACUGAAUUAAAAUAAUGAAGAAUUCUAUGAUUUUAAACGAUGAUCAUGUGAUUUUGAAGAGGAUAAGUACCAGCAAGUUGUGCCAUAAAACAGUGGCUGCAUUUAACUAGAUAUAAAUAUCGUCCAGCUAUCUAUGAAAUAACAAGCAAGCAAAGCUCCAUGAGUUUCUCCAGGUAAAACAAUGGAACCCAAGCCAGCACACAGGCCUCAUGAUUUGUCGUUCCAGUUCCAUUUCAAAGCCACAUCAAGCAAAUCUUAAAUUGGCAAAACUUCUGCGUUGCAGAGGUUUCUUCAUAACAAUUGUAAACACAGAAUUCAAUCACAAACGUUUCUUGAAAUCAAAAGGCUCUGAUGCCUUUGACGGUUUGCCUGACUUGCGUUUCGAAACCAUUCCUGAUGGUCUCCCUCCCUUAGAUAUUGAGACCACCCAUGACCAAACUUCUCUUUGUAAUGUUUUUGCAACAAAUUUCUUGACUCCUUCUCCGGACUUUGUUCAGUUCAGAUCAAGAUAUCUUUAUAUUAGUUUAAUUCUUUUAUUAUUUAGAACAUUAUAGUUAUAAAAAAAACUUGUAAUUUAGCAUUAUUAAACAAUACAAAAAGAAAGAGAAUAAUUAAGAGAGCUUAGAGAGAAACACUUAAUAAAAAUAUAUAUUUCUCUCAAUUUUCUUCUCGUUCUUAAGUUCAAGAUGAAGGAUUAUGAAAAAAAAAAUAAUCCAGUUGAGUGUGGAGUGAAGAUAUCUAAGAAUGAUAAAGUGAAAAAGAUAAACUCUAUAACAUUCAAAAUCCUAGUUGAGAGUUUAAAAUAUUUGACAUCCACUCGUCCGGUUAUUAUUUUUAGAGUAGGACUUGUGAGUUGAUUUUGGCUUAUGUUAUGGAUAUUUUAAUAGCUUUAAUCGUUUGGGUUAUAGUGAUAGUUAUUGGGUUGGAGAUAUGAAUGAUAGAAAAUGCAAUACAAGUUUUUUUUUUUUUUUUUCUAUAUGGGAGACAUGGCAUUCACAUGAAGUUCAAAGAAGCAAUCUAUAGUCACCUUGUCAACAUGUGUUUUUCAUUCCAUUUAACUAAAGAGAUUAUUGAAGGAAUUGUGAAUACCAUAAAAGAAUCCUAUUGAAAUUUAUGUGGACAAUUCCUCAAUUAUUGCAUUAGCAACCAAUUCAGUAAUUCAUUAUAGAAAUAAGCAUACUGAUACAAUAUUUCAUCACCUACAAGAUUGCAUGCAAACAAGAAAGUUGAAGUCAAGUAUGUGAAGACACAAGAUCAAGUUGCAAAUACAUUCACAAAACCACUUAAAUAUAAUGUUUUUAUCAAGAUGAGAGACAUGUUUGGAGUUAUGAAAAAAGCAAGUUCAAGGGGGGUGUUGAAAGUAAACCAGAUUUCAUUUCUAAAAAAUAGAGGAACCGGUCUAUUAGUUGAAAACCAGUUGACCAGCUUUAAUAAGUUGAAUUGGUCAACCAAUUCAGAAAUGGUUAACUAGUUCAGUAGGUAGAAUACAAUUCAUGUUCAAAUUAGAAUUUCCUUGUGUUAGUUUAAUUCCGUGAUUGUCUAAGACCUUAUGCCUAUAAAAAGGCUUGUAAUUCAACAUUAUGGACAAGUACAAAAAAAAAAGAGAAUAGCUAAGAGAGCUCAAAGAAAAACACUUAAUAAAAGUAUAUCUUCCUCUCAAUCUUCUUUUUAUUCUUGAGUUUUGACUUUGUAUUACUAUUUUUGACAAAGUGACUAUAUAUUGCUUCUUCAAACUCCAUAUGAAUGAUGUGUCCCCCAUGUAGAAAACAAAACUUGUGUAAUUUCUAUCAUUCAUAUCUCCAUCUCAAUCACUAUCAUUAUCACUAUAACCUACAAGUUCAAAGUUACUAGAAUAACCAUAUAAUAAGCCAAAAUCAACAGUACUUUGAUAUACCGAAGAAUUCACUUCAAAGCUUUGAAGUGUGUCAUAACAGGUGUCUCCACAAACCUCCUCACAAGUCCUCAUCCAAAAAAAAUAUUUGGAUGAGUGCAUGUCAAAUAUCUCAAACUCCUAACUAAGCUUUCGAAUGUUGUAGAGUUUAUCUUCUCCCCUUCAUCAUUCUUUGACAUCUUUACUCCACACUAACCUAGAGUAUUCACUUUUACACAAUCCUUCAUCUUGAACUUUUUUAGAACUUCCCUUGCAAACUUCUCUUGAUUUAUAAAAAUUCUAUUUUCUCCUUAUUUGAUUUCAAUUCUUAAGAAGUAGGACAUGAGACCAAUAUUUGCUAUCUCAAACUCAAGAACAAGAAGUUUGAGAGAAAGAUAUACUUUUAUUAAGUGUUUCUCUCAAAGCUAUCUUAGCUAUUCUCUCUCUUUUUUGUACUUGUUCAUAAUGUUGAAUUACAAGCCUUUUUAUAGGCAUAAAGUUCCAUACAACCAAGGAAGAAUUAAACUAAUACAAGAAAACUCUAUUCUGAAUAGAAAUUAUAUUCUGUCAACUAAAUCAAUCAAUCAUUUUUAAAUUAGUUGAGCGGUUCUCAACCGGUAAACCAGUUUUUCUAUUUUUCAGAACUGAAAUAUAGUUUACUUUCAACAAAGAGCUUGAACCGGUGACAACAAACAAAUCCUUAGAAGAUGGGGGGGAAAGCUCUAUCUCAAAAAACCCAGCCACCGUUCUAGACAAACAUAGUUUCUUCUCACGAACACAGAAAACAACCUGAUCUUCCAUACAAGCCAUAUUACCCCCAGCCUCAGCUACCAUCCAUCACCUUAAACACUCAGACUUUAACAAACUACCGUGGUUUUCACCUACAAUGUUACUUGGAAAACUUCCCAAGUUGGGUCGAUUACCAUAAGCUCAAAGACCGUUUCAGAAAACAGGGCAAAGUUAUUAAGUUGUUUGUUUCUCGAAAAACAAAUCAAGCAGGAAAGCAUUUUGGCUUCGUCACCAUCCUCUCGAAUCUGUCAGACAAAACUCUGCUGGAAUGUUUAAAUGACAUAUGGUUUGAUUCCUACAAAUUGAGAGUUAAUGUGGCUAAGCACAGAAGAAAAGAUGAAGUGAUGAAACAAAAAACAGUGGGAACAUGGAAACAAAUAUCCAAGCUUAACAACAAAGCCAAGGCCCCCAUCCGUGUAAGAGAUAACCGAAGCUAUCUUAAGGCAGUAAGAUCAGGGAGUCAAGUGCAUCAAGCGUCUGAUAAUGCCACACCACGUCCUCAUAACUUCAUUUCUUUCAACACUACAGAUGAGGAAAUUCUAUGGUUAAGAAAUAGUCUUAUAGGCAAGAUAUCUUAGGGAGUAGAUUAUGCACAAAUCAGACAUGGAUUAAUUCAGCUAGGCAUUUGCUUCUCUGCUGUCCAUUUCCUGGGGGGUUCCCAGGCAAUCAUCAGCUUUGAUGGUGAGAAAUCUAUGCAACAAGCCAUGCAGAAAGGUAUGGAAUGCUGGAAGCUCUACUUUGAUGAAGUUCACCCGUGGACGGAAGAAGAUGUGACAGAGAGUCGUCUAGCAUGAAUCUCCAUCUCUCACUUGCCUAUCUCUGGCUGGAGUUUGAGAUGUAUCUCAAACCUCUUCAUGAACCAUGGACGGGUGAUAGGUUUUGACAAGACCAGCCUAAAAAUCUCUGAACUUUAUAGCGUGAAAAUCCUUAUAGGUACUCACUUGCCGGAGAUCCACGACUCUAUAGAUCUCAUGCUAAACUCCAAGUUAGUACACAUACAGCUGGAUGAGAUUGACCCUUUAAGAUAUCCAGAGGCAAAAGGAAUUUCAUACUCGAUGGCAGAAUUUCAAACCAUAUUACUUCAGGGAGAAGAUGCUGACAGUGACUCAGAUGAUGAAGUGUACACUAAUCUGGCUUUUGACUUGACAAGAGAUGACAACAUUUGCAGGCUGGCUAUCGCUGAUAAGAAUUGUGGAGCUGCUGACAAGGCACACACGCUAGAGGCAAGGAAGCACAACCCACAUGGGACAUAUGAGGUCUACGAUCAUAGCUUUGCGGCCACAAUAAAUGAAACUGACAACGCAGAACUGCUACAUAUCGUUGUUGAAGAUCUCUUUCCAGAAAUAUCGUCUCCUAGGACUCCCCACCACUGUUUCUCUACCAACAAGCUUUCCCAAAAUCAACUCCAAGCAGAACGGGGCCUUGUCUUAUACGAUGUGAAUUCAGCAAGCCCACUAGAGCAUCCAAGCAUGGCUUUCAAAAGAGACUCUUUCUCGCCACAACCUUAUACCCCUAUCAGCAGUGAUGAUUCUUUAGAAUCUCACUACAAAAUCCAAACCUUGCCUCUUACAUCCAACCAACACCGGACCCCAACAGCCAAACAACCAAGACUAAAGAAAAUAUCCUCUACUGGGAGUCUCCUCUCCUUGCACUCUUCAGCGAGCAUAUCUUCUAUGGACUCUUAAAUCAGGGUGAAUAAUACUCGUAACCUGAAAGAAUCUGCAGCGGAGUCGUCUCACAAUGAAGUCAACAAAAUGAUCCAUUUGGGAGAAGCUUUGGGUCUUGGUAAUUCAGCUCUCUUGGAACAAUUUUCUGGUCUUAUCAUAAGACAGCUAGAAAAGGAGAAGGAAGAUUGGCAGAAACAACAAUGAAUAGUAAGUUUUCAUCCCUGCAGAUAGGCUUUUAAUUCUGUCAUGAAUAUUCUUUCUUGGAAUUCCUGUGGCUUGGGCAUGAUGAGGAAACGAAGAAGAAUCACGAAAUUAAUAGCAGAAUAUAAGAUUGAUAUAUGUUUCAUGCUGGAAACUAAGCUAGCUAAUUGUUCCAUUGGUUUUGUAUCUCGUAUUUGGAAUGAAAAUCAUGUGAGUUGGUUUAGUAAUGAUGCUCAAGGAUCAAAAGGAGGUCUGCUUGCUAUGUGGAAAAACACUAACUUUGAAGUCUCUAAUAUUGAAUAUGGUCAUGGUUGGAUCGGUUUAUAUGGUAAACAUGUUCACAGUGAUUUUCAUUGCUUUGUUAUUGGCAUCUAUGCUCCUUGUAACUAUCAGGACAGACAAAAACUUUGGGAGGAUCUCAUUCUUCUGAAGCAUGCUUUUGAAGUUCCAUGGAUAAUAGCAGGAGAUUUUAAUGAAACGCUCUCUCAGAAAGACAGAAACAGUGGAAUUUGUCAUCCUGCAGGCUCAAAUUCUUUUAGCAGAUUUGCAGUCUUGUGAGCUCACUGAAUACCCUUUAGCAGAAGGUUAUUUUACCUGGUUCAGAGGAAGGUCCAAGAGCAAACUAGAUCGAAUGUUCGCAAGCUCAACCUACCAUCUUCACUUCCCCAGUUUAUCUCUUCGACGACUUCCAAGAGAGUUCUCAGAUCAUUGCCCUCUAAUUCUAUGUAGCUUCUUGCAAGACCAUGGAUGGCGUCCUUUUCGUUUCUUGGACUGUUGGACUCAAUACCCAAAUUUCAAGCACAUUAUUGAAAGCUUCUGGAAUGAUGCAUGCUCCCUUCACCCUGGCCGCUUUAAAUUUCUCAAAAAGCUUAAUCAUAUUGCAGUCAAAUUGAGGCAAUGGAAUAAGCUUGUAUUUGGAAAUCAAGAAGCUGGCCUUCAACGAACCCUUUCAGCUAUCAACAUACUAGAGGAAAAAUGUGAAGAAGAAGGUUUAACCGACCAAGAGCAGGAGCAUUUAGACUUUUUGUUGAAAGACCGUGGGUUCGCAACAAUCACAUUGAAUCUAUUUGGAGGCAGAAAUCAAGACAGAUGUGGUGCAAAUUGGGUGACAGAAAUAACAAGUUUUUUCACAUGAUUGCCAAUUUCAGGAAGGCUAAAUCAUCAAUACUUAAAAUCCACCAUAAUGGCAACACUUUUGACUCUCAGCAGGGAAUUAAGCAGGCUGCUGUGGAUUAUUUCUCUGAGCUGUAUGACUCCCCCUCUGGUAAAAAGCCGCAGUUAAAUCCUUUGGGUUUCAAAUGUCUCUCUAAAGAAUCCUCUGAAUGGUUGGAGCAAGAAAUCACAAUGGAAGAAGUGAAGCGCAGUGUAUGGGGUUGUGAUGGGUCAAAAUGUCCUGGACCAGAUGGUUUCAACUUCAAAUUCUACAGAUUAGCAUGGGAUUUUAUUGCUCAAGACAUUCUCGAUAUAGUCUUAAGCUUCUUCAGAACAGGAAGGCUUCCCAAAGGAAUCAAUACAACCUACGUAACUCUCCUCUCCAAGACAGUCGAACCCAUUGAGUUUAAAGAUUUUCGGCCCAUCAGCAUGAUUCAUGGUAUUUAUAAGAUCAUUGCUAAAAUCCUUGCAUCUAGACUGAAAGCUGUUAUGCAAGAUAUCAUUAGCAUUAACCAAUCAGCGUUUAUAGCAGACCGCAACAUUAUAGAUGGCUUUAUGAUUGCAAAUGAGCUGGUGAGUGAUCUAAAGAAGCGAAAAGUGGCAGGUCUGAUUUUCAAGAUUGAUUUCCAUAAAGCCUUCGACUCAGUCUCUUGGGAUUACCUAGAUGAUAUCAUGGGUUAUAUGGGGUUUGGUAGAAAAUGGAGAACCAUGAUUUAUGAAUGUCUUUCUUCAUCAAGACUCUCGGUCCUCAUCAAUGGAUCUCCUUCAAAAGAAUUCUCUGUUCGGCGAGGACUGCGUCAAGGAGACCUAAUUUCCCCUUUUCUGUUUGACAUAGCUGCUGAGGGCCUCUUGGUCCUCUUUCAAAGGGCUGCAAUUUGCAUCAGGAAUUUUUGUCAGCCAUCUACAAUAUGCAGAUGACAUGUUAAUAUUCAUCUCGGCAGAUAUUGAUCAGUUAGUUCAAGUCAAAAGAAUUUUAAGAUGGUUUGCUUUGACUUCAGGCCUUCAUAUAAACUUCCAUAAAAGCUCCAUUAUUGGUAUCAAUGUUGACGAUCACUUGUGCUUGCGCUUGGCUACAUCUAUUUUUUGCAGAUCAGACUCCCUCCCAAGCAAAUAUCUUGGCAUGCCACUAGGAGCCAAUCCAUCUCGUAUCUCUACAUGGAAGCCAGUGAUAGAGAAGUUUCGUAAAAGGCUUCAUAUAUGGAAGGGGAGACUACUAAGCAUGGCUGGUCGUCUAUGUCUCAUUAAAAGUGUCCUUAAUUCCCUGCCUAUAUAUUUUAUGUCUGUAUUCAAGAUGCCAAAAGGGGUAGGCAGGCUUCUUUCAUCCAUCCAAAGACGUUUCUUGUGGUGUGGAUGUACCAAGCAAAGAUCUUUCUGCAAGAUCCAAUGGAGAAUAGUGAUGCGCGAUAAGAAAGGAGGCCUCGGUGUAGGCUCCCUUAUAUCAAAAAACAGAGCCCUGCUAAAAUGGAUUUGGAGACUCUCUUCCCCAGGUACAAGCUUAUGGAAAAUGAUUAUCUCUUCAAUGUACAAUCCAUCUUAUGAGAAUGGGAUCCCAAUUUUCUACAACCAACCAUCCAAGAUAUGGAAGGAUAUUAUGUCCAUUGUUCAAACCGACGUUCACCAAGUCUUCACGAAUCAUUGCAAAUUCAUGGUGGGGAAUGGCAAUUUAACAUCCUUUUGGCUAGACAGCUGGAUUGGUGACGACCCUCUCAAAACAGCCUUCCCAAGGCUAUAUCUUUUGUCUUCCUCUAAAUCUGCUUUGGUGGCUGACAUGGGUAGAUGGAGCAAUGGAAUCUGGCUCUGGUCCCUACAAUGGCGCAGACCUCUUUUUCAUUUUGAACAAGAACAACUAUCACUUUUAUCAUCCUUGCUGGAAUCCAAGCCAAUGUUCUGCCACAAGAUGGAUAAGAAAAUCUGGACCCUCAACACAAUGGCCUCUUCAGUGUAAAAUCUUGCUCCAAAAUGAUGGACCAGUUACUCUACGGUGGAGCCAAACCAUUCCAAUCUUCUGUUUGGAUAAAACUAACCCCACCAAAAGUGCAGCUUUUCCUUUGGCUCCUUGUCCAAGACAAAGUAACCACAAGAGAUUUUAUUUCAACGCGACUACCUCUCCCUUCAGGAGUCAAGAUGUGCUUUCUGCAAUAAAAGCUUGGAAUCUUCAAGUCACCUCUUCAUUCACUGCCACUUCUCUUGGAAUAUAUGGAUGAAACUGCUUUCUAAUCGGGGCUUUUGCAGUGUUUUUCCAAAAUCUGUUGAUGAUAUGUGCUACCAAUGGUCUUCUAUGGUUACAGGCAAGCAGCAAAAUCUCUCAUGGCAACUUCUUUUCUCAUGCGUUGUUUGGAAUCUUUGGCUUCAUCGAAAUGAUGUUAUUUUUAAUGACGCUGCCCCUAACCUUCAAAUUUAUUUCUCCAUGGUGCGCCAAAGUAUUGCUUUAUGGUUGAGGCUUGAUUCCAACUCUUUAGAGUUUAAUAUAGAGAAUGUUUAGUCGGGAGGAGUUGGUCUCUUAUGAUUUGUUUGUUCCCCUUUUGUUGCUCUCCCCUGUUUCAUGCAAUAGUUUUUGUGUUUUCCUUUCUUUUGCUUGUUCAUCUGAUGUAAGUUAGGCUAUUAUCUUUGUAGCCUUUUUCUUAAUAAAAUUUUGACUAUUAACCAAAAAAAAACAAAGAGCUUGAACCUCGAAACAGUCCAGCACUUGAAUUUCUCGUUGUUGUUUUUUUUUCUAGCAACAAAAAAGAAUUCCUUCUUGUUGUUAUUUUUUUGAAAAGACAACAAAAUCCCUUCAUUAAAAUCUCAUUUCUUUCUGUAUACUUUCCAGACAUGAUGAUGCUGAUUUGCACAACAUCUCUCCAGCAGCAAUCAAUACCAGUGACCAUGCUACAAUAAUUGGUUUCGGCGAUAAUUUUUCCCACCCUAAAUUUUUGUCAAGCAAAACACUUUCUGUUUCGAUGUGAUCGUUUUUAAAUGUUUGCUUCUUAGCUUGAAAUCAUGGUUGAACCAGCUUAAAGUCGCCUUUUGAUGUUUAUAAUGCUUCCUGCUAAAAAUGCUACUGAACUUUUGUACAAAUCUUCAUGUGGAGUGUGAUUAAAUUACAUAUAUAAGAGUAAGUUUUCAAAGCCUAUUAUGUAGUAUGGCUUUGCUUCAUUAAAAAAUCAUGAAGAAAAGUUGUAGUAAUGCUAUUUCCAUUGUUUUAGUUAAUGUUUUAUUGGACGUAUGAGAUUAACGUGUCCUGGAGAUGUAGAUUCUUUGCUAGGAAAUUGCAUCUCUCUUGAUUAUAAAGUAAUUAAUCAAUUAGUGACGGUCUUUCACCGAUUGAGAGGAAGAUAUAAAAUUGAUUUUUUUAGUAUUUUUUGUAUAAUUUUGAUAUACUGAUAUUAAAAAUAAAAAAAUAAUAAUUUAAUAUAUUUUUAAACGAAAAACUCUUUUGAAAAUUACCCACACAAUAAUAACUAUUUGGAUUUUCCUUUUUUUCACUUCUAUAAACAACUAAAACUCUAAGAUACUUUUUGCUUGAAAAUACCUUUAAAAUAUUUUUUUAUUUUUGAAAUCAACACCUUAAAAUAAUUGAAAAAUAGUAAAAAAAAAAAAAAACAUUAAUUUAGUGUUUUUUUCUACUGCAUCAUUCAUUAAUGUACUUGGGGUUAGGUCGUUGUCAACUUCUCGAGGAUCCACAAUAUUGGAAGUGCAAAUAAUAGAGAUAGAAGGACAACGUUUAAUAGGUUUAAGGGCAAAUAAUUACUUUUUUUAAUUAUUGAUAGAUAAAUCUUGAAAGUCAUUCUUUGAAAUGAUCAUACCUUCAAGAUAUUUGGAAUUCGUUGAAAAAGAAAAACCAAUAAACAACGAGGAAAGAGGCAACAACUCCGACUACUUUGAAUAGAAUAACUCGUCAAAACAUGUGCAUGAUGGUUGAUAAAUUAUUGACUAUUUUUAUCAUGCAUUGAAUUAUAUAUGUUCAUUCAAUAUAAAUUUAGUAGUUUAGAUUUAAAUGUUCUUAUCCCUAAUUUAAUUUUGGUAUACUAUGAAGGCAUAUCCUCCUCACAUUCUUUUGUAGCAAAACAAUCACUCUAAAGAAAGAGUUAGAGAAAAAAGGAAAGAGCUAGAGACAUGUUUCGCAAAAUCUUAGCUGACAAGCCUCAUGUAAUCUGUAUUCCUUGUCCAGCUCAAAGCCAUGUAAAGGCAAUGCUUAAACUAGCAAAACUACUGCAUUCCCGAGGUUUUCUCAUAACCUUUGUGAACACAGAGUUCAACCAUAGACGCUUGCUUAAAUCUAGAGGCCCUUAUUCCCUGAAUGGCUUGCCCGACUUUCGGUUCGAAUCUAUCCCUGAUGGCCUCCCUCCUUCAGAGGAGAAUGCUACCCAAGAUGGACAAGCAAUUUUUGAGGCUUGCAAGAAGAACUUGCUAGCUCCAUUUAAUGAAUUGCUUGCCAAGAUCAAUGAUACGGCAUCUUCUGAUGUUCCUCAAGUGACUUGCAUUGUAUCUGAUGGAUUUGUGCCAGCUGCCAUCACUGCUGCACAGAGGCAUGGAAUUCCUGUUGCCUUGUUCUUUUCUAUCUCUGCUUGCAGUUUCAUGGGGCUUAAGCAAUAUAAAGAGCUCAAAGAAAGAGGACUGUUUCCAUUAAAAGGUAAGAACAAGAAUUGGAAUUGAACUCACAACUUCAUUAUGAUUUUCUAUUAUUUCAUUUGGGCAUUACAUAAAUAUCCUAGUAGUUCAUGUGCUGCAUCAUCGUAUAAAUAGAUUGCUAUAUGAACUGAGUAGCUGUCAUCCAUGGAAAUAAAUAGAUUGCUACAUGAACUGAGUUCUUAUGGACUAAAACUUUCUGAUUGAAUGGUACAAGAUCCGUGGUUAUAAUUCCAGGGUAGCCCUUCGGCUGCGUAACCUGAAAUUUGAGUUCAAGCUAGGGAACCUUUCUUCUCUUCUGAUUUUACGCUCAUUCCUCUUCUGCUGUUGUCUUCAUUUACUAGCCCAUACUGGUAUGCUACAUAUGCAUUUAAUUUUUGUUCGCAGACGAGAGCUUUUUAACAAAUGGCUAUUUGGAUCAAGUACUAGACUGGAUUCCUGGAAUGAAAGAUAUGCGGUUGAGGGAUCUUCCAAGUUUUCUCCGUACAACAGAUCCAGAUGAUUACUGUUUCAACUUCUGCAUGGAAUGUGCUGAGAGAGCAUCUGAAGGUUCUGCAGUGAUUUUCCAUACUUUUGAUGCUUUGGAGAAAGAAGUCUUGAGUGCUCUUUACUCAAUGUUUCCUCGUGUCUACACGAUCGGUCCACUUCAAUUACUUCUGAAUCAAAUGAAAGAAGAUGAUCUAGAUUCUAUUGGAUAUAAUCUAUGGAAAGAAGAGGUUGAGUGUCUCCAAUGGCUUGAUUCCAAGAAACCAAACUCCGUGCUUUAUGUGAAUUUUGGUAGCGUAGCGGUCGCCACAAAGCAGCAGCUGAUUGAAUUGGGAAUGGGACUUGCUAAAAGUGGUCACCCAUUUUUAUGGAUAAUAAGGCCUGACAUGGUCACAGGCGACUCCGCCAUAUUGCCACCAGAAUUCACUGACGAGACUAAAGACAGAGGAUUUAUUUCAAACUGGUGUCCGCAAGAGGAAGUUCUCAACCACCCAUCAAUAGGAGGUUUCCUAACACAUAGUGGAUGGAAUUCAAUAGCUGAGAGCAUUUCUUCUGGGGUGCCCAUGCUUUCUUUGCCGUUCUUUGGUGAUCAACAAACGAACUGUAGGUACACUUGCAAUGAGUGGGCCAUUGGAAUGGAGAUUGAAAGCAAUGCGGAAAGAGAUGAAGUGGAGAAGCUUGUGCGAGAGUUGAUGGAAGGAGAGAAAGGUAGGGAGGUAAAGAAAAAAGUCAUGGAGUGGAGAAAAUUAGCAGAGGAAGCCGCUGGUCCAAGCGGGUCAUCAUCCAUGAAUUUAGACGAGUUGGUGAAGGCAGUGCUUUUGGCAUGAAAAAUAAAUAAAUUCUAGAAAUCUGGAAUUAUUAUUCACAUGGAGAUAAGUUGUUUCCUCUGUUUUUCUGUCUUGUUUUGGGUCCCAUGAUAUGUUCUGAUGUUUUUUCAAUAAGCAUAUCUGUUAUGUUUUUUAUUUUGCUUUAGAUUUUUUUUAAAAUCAUUUUAAUAUAUUCAUGUUAAAAUUAAAUUUUAAAAAAUAAAUAAAAUAUUAUUUUAAUGUAUUUCUAAAAAAAAAUUUAUCACUACAAUCUUGGCUGAAUAUAAUAAGAUCGUAGACCAAAUUGGGGAUUACUACGACCUCUGCCAUAACCCUUAAAUUGAGAGCCACGAUUGCCAAAAUAACCACUGUUGGGGAACAUCGUAUUAUGACCAUUGAAACCACUCUGAUAGCCAUUAAAACUUCCAUGGAAGCCAGAGGAAAAUUGAGAAGAUGGAGCUGACUUGAAGCUAGAAGAAAGAGAAUUAAAAUUACCUUCUUCAAGAACAAGAACCUUGCCUUAAGACACCUGAUUUUGAGCCAACAUUAUAGAGACAAAUAGAGAUGCUGAAUGAGUUUGCUCAAUAAUAGCUUCUUCAGCAAGCAGUUGAGAUCGAAAAUCUUUAAGGGAUAAUAAAUUGUCUUUGCCUCGAACCAUACACCAGAACGUGUAACAGUCAGAAGAAAGGCCAUUGAGAGCCAAGAUCACAAUAUCAUCAUCUUCUAAAUAAACACCUGUUGCAGAGAAAUGAUCACGUGCAUCUUUGAUUCUUUGCAGAUAUUGAGACAUAGGCUCUGAACCUUUCUUGAUAGUUUGAAGUUCACUCUUCAUCUGAAAGAUUCGUGCCUUGGUCACUGUAGAAAAUCUAUCCUACAAUUGAACCCAUAUAUGAGAACUGAUGCAUCCAAUGACAUAGGAAAUUGCAAUAGAAGAGAGAGUGGCAAUAAGUAGCUGCAUCAAUGCUCUAUCAUGCAUUUUCCAAAUCGGAUGAUCAUCAGAUUCAACAUCCUCAAGAUCAGAAUUUGUUUCAAAUUGACUUGGAUUUUUUCUGGAACCAUCAACGAAUCCUAAAAUUCCAUGACUCUCAAGAAGAAUUUUCAUUUGAAAUUGCCAUAUCAUAUAAUUUGUAUAAUCAAGCUUGACUAUUAUAGCAGUAGAAAUUAUAGGAAGCAAAGAAAUAAUAGGAGAUUGAACAAUCUCAAGUUGUGAACUAGUCACCAUUUUAGAAUGCAAGAAGUGCAAGAAAAGAAUUGAAGAUUGUGACAAUCAGUUGAAGUAAUAGAAAAUUGAAGUAUUGAAGAAGAGAAUCAGUUAGACAAUACAUCAAAUAGAUGAUAGACACAUCAACAAAUACACAAGAAUUUCAUGAAGAGGAUGAGAAUGAAGCCAGAAUCCAGAAGCUAAUGGCCACAAGAUCAAGAAUUCAGUCGCUCUUAUACCAUUAUAGAUUUUAGGAUUUACAGAGAAAAGGAACAGAGAUGGAACAGAGAUGAAGAAAAGUAGAGAAGAGAGACGAAGAAGAACAGAGAUUGAUUCUGUUAAACAUAGAAGAAGAAGACGACGAAUUCUAGCACUGAUUUAUUAUUGAUUGAUUAAUAUUCUCUUAUCUAAUCAUCUGUUUAUAUAUACUAUUGUAGAAAGAUAAUACAUAGUAUCUAUUCUUUCUUUAUUUGCACUGAAACAAUGCUAACUAACUCUCUUAACUCAUAAACAAUACUAAUAGCAUUCUAACAAUAUCAGUCUCUAAUCUUUUGACACUUGGUAAGAGUAGAGCCGUUGAUAUCCUUACAAUUAUAAGAUAUGUACACUGAACUAAUCUAUAUAAAAAUUUCAUAUGGAGAGAUCACAUAUAUCUAUAGAAAAGAUCAUGUGACAGUUGUGUAAGUGAUUCCUAGAUUUAAUAUCACUAAGUCAUCUUAUAUAGUAAAUGUUAUACUUUGAUCAUGUCACAUGUUAUCUUAAUCAAGGUAAUGAAAAAACAAGCAUUGAGUAUAUCAUCAACUAUAAGAAGGUACUUAAGUGAUCAAGAGAUGAUUCAUCAUCUUAGGUGAAUUAAAGAAAAUAUUUUAUAUGUUAUUAAAUAGUAUUGACUGAGAAAUCUUUGGCUAGGGUAAAAUGAGAUAUGAAAAAAAUUUCAAAUCUUAUUUAAAUGAUUUUUAAAAAAUAAAAAAUAUAUAUAUGUUAUUUUGUUGUGAUGAUUGGACACAGUGAGCCUCUCUUUGCUUAUAGGAAAAAGAUGAAAUUGAUAUGUCCUUCUUCUUUCUUUUAUAAUAGACAACAUAGUUAUAAAAUCUUAACCAAGUUGGUUCAUUCUAUUAUCCGUUAACUUGGAGUUCAGCCCCAGCUAAGUUUGGUUUUGAAUGGUUGAAGGAGUUCAUCGAAGAAACUUGAGUGAUUUGAUGAGAAUUUGCGACCUAAGCAAUCUAAUCAAUGUUACAAUAAAUUUAUAUAUAAAAAAACGUAGUUUUUAAUUAUUAUUAUUUUCAUAAAACAAUAUCAUUUUAAAUAAAAAAUUAAAAAAAAAACUCAAUCCUAGUUCCAAUUUUUCCUUAUAAAAACACCCUUACCUUUUGUUGUGUGUAUACACGUACAAAAAUUGUAGCAUUGCUCUAUAUAGGGAAUCUAUUGAAUUUUAACAGAAUGAAAUGCAAAGGCUAGCAAUUAUCAAACUUCUUCUUUGAACUUCACUGCUUUAUUGAUCAUGCAAGUCUAAUAAAAAACAACAAAAGAAAAGCUUAAAUUCAAGUAAUAAGCAGCACAAUCUGAUGCAGUUACGUAAUAGAACAAAGAAAGAUAAUGACUAAACAAAAAGGAUUAUUUCAAUCCUAAUAGAAUUUGACAAUUUCAAAACAACAAGUGUUUUAUUAAAACUAAAACUCAUAUCAGCUUCCACAUCAGCAGACUCCACAUCAGCAGCUUCUAAGGCAUCAAUUCAACACUCCUCUUUGGCUCUGAAGCUGCAGACUCCAAGUCUCUGUCUAAAGAAUUCAUACUUAGCUUGAGGAAGCGGCUUGGUUAGAAUAUCAGCAUUUUGAUUUUCUAUUUUGCAAUAGAUCAGUUGUAUUUCACCUUCUCUUUGAACUUCUCUUAGGAAAUAAAGUUUCAGUUUAAAAUGUUUUGUUUUGCCAUGAAACAUAGGAUUUUUUGCAAUUGAAAUUGCAGCUUGAUUGUCUACAAGUAUCUGUGUGCGUUCCUUUUGCUCCAUCUGCAGAUCAGCCAUCAAUUUUCUAAUCGAAAUAUCCUGAUUCACGACAGCAGUAGCAGCAACAUACUCUGCCUCUGUUGUGGAUUGAGCUAUGACUUCUUGCUUCUUUGAACUCCAUGAAAAAAUAGCAGAACCAAAGUUAAAACAAUAACCUGAAGUGCUCCUCAUGUCAUCAAUAUAGCUAGCCCAAUCACUGUCAGAAUAACCAUGGAGUAUGGAGUUUUUAACUUGACAAAACUUCAAUCCAUAGUCAAUUGUUCCCUUGAUGUAUUUGACAAUUCUUUUUACUGCUUGAAAAUGAAUUUCACUUGCACAAUGCAUAUACCUUGAAAGUAUACUUGUAGCAUUCAUAAUGGCGGGUCUUGUUGCAGUAAGAUACAUCAAGCAUCCUAUUAAGGUUCUGUAGAGUGUUUCAUCAAUCUUUGCAGCUCCAUCUUCUUUGCAAAAUUUCUCCUUUUAAUUCAUUGGUGUUGUUGUUAAUCUGCACUCUUCCAUGUUGAACUUCUUUAAAAUCUCUUUGGCAUAUUUUUGUUGGCAUAUGAAGAUUUCAUUCUGCUUUUGUUGAACUUCCAUGUCGAGAAAGAAUGUCAUCUUUCCCAAGUCAAACAUCUCAAAAACAUUCUUCAUUUCUCUUUUGAACACAUUAAUCUGCUCCAUGUUACUUUCUGUCACAAGUAAGUCAUCCACAUAAAGAAAAACCACAAGUAAUUCAUCAUUGAUUUUCCUAAGAUAGAGUGUGAAUUCACUUAGACUUUUUGUAAAGCCUAAGUCUAACAAAUGUGCAUCAAUCCUGUUGUACAAAGCCUUUGGUGCAUCCUUUAAAUCAUAGAGAGCCUUUUUCAGUAGAUAUACUUUCUCCUCUUCUCCUUGAAUGACAAAACCUUCAGGCUACUCCACAAAUAUUUCCUUCAAAUAUCCAUUUAAGAAAGCAGAUUUGACAUCCAUUUGAUGUAUAGUCCAGCCAUUUUGAGCAGCAAGAGCAAGCAGCAUUCUCAUAGUAUCAAGCCUAGGAAUGGGAGCAAAGGUUUCAGAGAAAUCCACCCCAAACAUCUGAGCAUAUCCUUUGACAACAAGCCUUGCUUUGUGUUUGUUUAUAGAAUCGUCAGCAUUGAACUUGGUUCUAUUAACCCAUUUGACUUCUAUGGCUUUUUUAUGUGCAUGUCUGUUCACUAGCAUCCAAGUCUGAUUUUUCUCAAUCAUCAUAAGUUCCUCCUUCAUUGCAGCCAUCCAAUGUUGAUCUGCAGUAGCUUCUUCAUAUCUUGCAGGUUCAAUUAUUUCCACAUUGCAGCUCUUAUAUAUAUAUAUAUAUCAGAGAGCAAUCUGAUUUUUGUAACAGAUUCAUCAUCAACAUCAACAUUCUCCUCUUGAAAUUCAAACUUAUUUUUCUCCCAGUUCCAGCUUUCUAACUUAAAGAAUUGGAUGUUCCUGCUAACAAUUACUUUGUUUUCUUGUGGAAGUUAAAUCAUGUGAAGCUUGAAGAACAAUACACCAUGUCAAAAGAAAUUACAAUAGGCGAGGAGAGGAAAGGCAGAACCAAUGAUAUCACGAUGCAAUACAUUGGUGUGUAGCUGCUCUUUGCUCGACAGGCAAUAUUUUCAUCAAUUUACUAUUAGAUUCACCCCCUUUUAAUGGCCAAAGAUUGAGAAAGUAUUAUAAUUUUAAUUUAUUAUAGUAAAAACUAAAAGAGCCAAGGUUUUCCUUUAGCAAUUUUUGAUGUUCAUUACUGCUCCUACUCUUAUAUUUCACCUUGGAUUGGUAUAAUUGAGUUUUUUUAUUUCAAAAUAUGAGUAAAAUAAGAUAAAUAACAAGAACACCAUGUCUUUCAUUGUGUGUACCAAGGACCACGAUUUGUGAUAAAGAUCGUGUAUGCAAAUAUACACCAUGCCUUAUAUGUAUAUAUUUUUAUUGCACUAACAUAUUUUUUCAUAUGCUUAACUCUCUGGUAGAGAAGUGUGUGUCUGUUUGUAUAUGUAUAUAUUUAACUAAUGAUUGCUCAGUAUACAAAUUGGUGUAUAUGCCUACCGGUUACAGUCUCUCACUGCUUCUUAACAAUAACAAUAAGUAAAUUGACACAGAAUCACUGUGCAGAGGAAUCUCUCCAAUUUGUAUUUCAAGAAUGCAAUUGCAAAGAAUACAAAAAUGGAUUAAUUCUCUUGUUCUAUUCCCCUCUUUAAAUACCAUAGUUUUAAGAUCUGGCCUGGUCCAAGGCCCGGGUUCUGGGUUUUUACUAGGUCACCGGGUCGAUUGAGUCAAUUUUUUUUUAAAAAAAUCAAAACGACAUUAUUUUAGUAAAAAAACAAAAAUAAAAUAAAAGUCAACGGGUUUGCAGCCGGGUCUUGCCAAGUCACACCAGGUUUUUCCUUCCCCUAUUUUUUCUUCAACCCUGCCCGAUUUCAACCCUGGGUCGGCUGGGUCCCGGGUUGACCCAUCGAGCCGGGUUUCAAAACUAUGUUAAAUACCCUACAACUAAGGAAGUAGUCUAAUACGUAAGUGAAACGUAAUACUAAUUUAACUAGGCACUAACAACUAUUCUAGGAAAAUAAUAACUACAGCCAAGGGCGGAGCCAAAAAAUUUUCCUGAUCUGGGCUAUUAAAUAAAUAUUUAAAUGUUUUUUAAAAUUAAUUAUUAACGUAUGUACAUGAAUUUUUUAAGUUAACAGUAAAGUUUUAAUUCAAAUACACUACCUAAAAUAUUAAAAAAUAAAUUUGAAAGUACAUAAAAUUAAAGUGAAAGUAAAAAUAAACUCACUAUUGAAGUUACAUCCUUCGAUAUUUUAUGGAAUAUAAUUCAUCUAUAAUCGAAUCUGAAUCGAUAUUGUAACAACCCCUCAACCGGGAUAAAAUAGCAAUCUCAUAUCAACUGGAAAUACAAAGUAAUUAAAGUUUUCCCCUCUCUUAAUUUCUCCUUCAUUCACUUGAUUCUUCCUUAGAUUAGUAUUUUAUAAGUUAGACUUUAUAAGUUUACAAGGUUAUUCUCACUUUUUAUAUUUUUUUUCCUUGGAUUUGUUUUUAUGUUUUUCCCUUACUUUUCUCUCUUUCUCUCUCGUCUUUUCUUUUCUUUCUUUGCCUAUUAUACUUCUGCCCAGUUGGCAACAUAUAAAAUGAAGGAAGAGCUUAUUUGUUUUAUUUUUUAAUGGCAAAUAACCAUUUUACUCUUAAUGAGUCGUUUUGCUUUUAUUUGACGGUCUUUUUUUUUUGUUAACACUACCAAGCUUCGGUCAUCCUAAAAUUUUACCAAGAUUUUAUUCAAUAUAUUUUAAGAUUCCUCGUAAACUUUUAGCUCAAUCUGAUGAUUAGAUUGAAAAUUACACUCAAUAACGUGAAACUGGUCGAAUUGUGUUUUUUCAUUAAAUUUCUGAAUUUCCUCAAAAUUUCUGAAAUUUUAACCCAAGCUAAAGCAUUAUAUUAGAAGACUCCAUGCAAUUUUUAAAAUUUUUUGAUAACUCAAUCGACAAUUAUAAUUUUUUUUUUAUACAUAAAACUAGUCAAAAAAUUAUUGAUAAAAUCUUGACCUGGGCUAUAGCCCACCCAAGUCUUCACCAUGCCUCCGCCCUUGACUACAACUAAUUAGUUUUAAUCGGGUUCGGUCAAGAUUCUUUGAUUUCCCCACGUUUCCAUUUCCUAGUAGGAUUCAUGCAUUACAGGGUCUCUUCUCAAGCCUCUAGAUUUGCAUCAAUUGCCAACUCCCCUUAAGAACUUGACUCUGGCAAGUUACGGUGAACAUAUGCAGCAAAUAAUUCUAGGUGUAGUCGCUGAAUCUAUGUGCCUUUGAUCCAGGCUGAGUCUGAAAGGGAUCGAUGCCUUCAUUGGAGUAAGAAUUUAUAAUAACCCCAGCGACGUGUAGAGACAAAUUGGUGAUCACUGAUGGAGGCAAUGUCCUCCUGUGGUGCACUGGUUGUGGGGACUUUAGGAAGGCAUGCUGGCAUGUCCUCUGCCUGUGACCUAUGAUCCUGAUCAUUAAGGCAGUGAUAUCCUUAAUGUUAAAAAUUGGGCUAAUAUCAAAUUUUGAAAGUAAGUCUAUGACAUAGGUAUUGUUACCCAACUUUUUAGUGAUCUAAAAAGGUCUUGCGCGUCGUGCGUGCAACUUGGUGAAACUUCCGGGAGGAAAGUGUUCUGGUUUUAGGCGAACCAACACCAUGUCACCACUAUUAAAUUGUCUGUCUUUGCGUUUAAUAUUGGCAGUAGCUGCAUAUGAGUCAGUAUUGUGGGAUAAUCAUCUUUUAACCUCCACAUGAACAUCUUUCAUGUGUUCAGAAAAAUCAAGGCCAGCUUCACUUGGUCUGGGAGGCAACGGUAAUGGAGUGAGAUCCAUGGGAGUAUAGGGUCGCCUUGCAUAUACUGCUUCAAAAGGUGUGCAUCCUGUAAAUCUAUUCACAGAGUUAUUGAUAGCAAAUUCUACAUAUGGGAGUAUGAGAUCCCAGCUGGUUGUAUGGUCAGCAAUGAGGCAGCGUAGUAAGUUUCCCAAGCUUCUGUUGAGGUCUUCGGUCUGACCGUUGGUUUGGGGGUGGAAUGCACUGGAAAACAUUAACUUUGUCUCCAUUUUUUUUCAUAAGGUCUUCCAAAAGUAGCUAACAAAUUUGGCAUCUCUGUCGGAUACAAUAGAGAAUGGUACACCAUGUAGCUGGAUUACUUCUUGUAGGAAUAAGACUGCCACUUUGAAAGCCCCAAAGGUCUUGUUGUAAGGGAUGAAAUGAGUCAUUUUUUAAAAUCGAUCAACUACUACCAUAACAGAGUCAUGUUGCCGAACAGUCCUGGGUAAUCGUAGGACAAAAUCCAUGCUAAUGUGCUGCCAUGGUUGGUCUGGUGUUGGCAAGGAGUCCAGCUUGGUUCUUUGUCUCUUUGUUUAGUUGACAAAUUCUGCAUCGAUCAACCACUUUGUGAAGAAUAUGUAUACAUGAAGAUGGCAAUUUGUGCUUAGUUGCAAAAAUUAACAUAACAGAGAAUCGAGAACAUCUUAAUUUUGACAAAUUAAAAAUUCUACAUCAAAAGAAAAUAAUGGCAGGUCUUUCUUGAAUAACAACUCCUUCUCAAGUUUGUGAAGAAUAUGUUGUUAGCAAACAAUGCCGAAAUGAAAUUCCACGAGAAAAAUCAUUGAGAGCAACAACAUGUGCAUGGUGGCUGAUCAGUCAUUGAAUAUUGAAUAAUUGCUAUUGACAAUUUUUAUCAUGCUAUGAAUUAUAUAUGUCCAUUCAAUUUAAACUUAGUACCUAAUUUAAUUUUGGUAUACUAUGAAGGCAUAUCCUCCUCACGUCUCACUCCAAUCUGUUUCCGGCCUUUCUAUUGUGAAACGUUUUUGACAUAUGACCACAAUUAGAUAAGAUUUCCAUGGCCCGCAUCAGUCUAGAAUAAGGAUUUUAAUUAGAUUAAAAUAAAAGAGAAGAUAAAACCCAUACUGUACCUCUACAGAAAGUCUUGUUGAUAAGAAAAUGUAUCCUGUGUAAAGUGUCAGCUUCACUUUGACAGACGAUAGUAGCAAAACAAUUACUCUAAAGAAAGAGUUAGAAAAAGAAGGAAAGAGCUAGAGACAUGUUUCGCAAAAUCUUAGCUAACAAGCCUAAUGUAAUCUGUAUUCCCUGUCCAGCUCAAAGCCAUGUAAAGGCAAUGCUUAAACUAGCAAAACUACUGCAUUCCCGAGGUUUUCACAUAACCUUUGUGAACACAGAGUUCAACCAUAGACGCUUGCUUAAAUCUAGAGGUCCUUUUUCCCUGAAUGGCUUGCCCGACUUUCGGUUCGAAUCUAUCCCAGAUGGCCUCCCUCCUUCAGAUGAGAAUGCUACCCAAGAUGGACAAGCAAUUUCGGAGGCUUGCAUGAAGAACUUGCUAGCUCCAUUUAAUGAAUUGCUUGCCAAGCUCAAUGAUACGGCAUCUUCUGAUGUUCCUCAAGUGACUUGCAUUGUAUCUGAUGGAUUUGUGCCAGUUGCCAUCACUGCUGCUCAGAGGCAUGGAAUUCCUGUUGCGUUGUUCUUUUCUAUCUCUGCUUGCAGUUUCAUGGGGUUUAAGCAAUAUAAAGAGCUCAAAGAAAGAGGACUGUUUCCAUUAAAAGGUAAAAGAAUUGGAAUUGAAAUCACAACUUCAUUAUGAUUUUCUAUUAUUUCAUUUGGGCAUUAGAUAAAUAUCCUAUUUGUUCAUGUGCUGCAUCAUCGUAGCCGUCAUCCAUGGAAAUAAAUAGAUUGCUACAUGAACUGACUUCUUAUGGACUAAAACUUGCUGAUUGAAUGGUACAAUAUCCUGGUAGUUUAUGCUAGAUCAUGGUAUAGUACAUGUACCAGAUCCGUGGUUAUAAUUCCAGGGUAGCCCUUCGGCUGCGUAACCUGAAAUUUGAUUUCAAGCUAGGGAACCUUUCUUCUCUUCUGAUUUUACACUCGUUCCUCUUCUGCUGUUGUAUUCAUUGAUUUACUAGCCCAUAACUGGCAUUCUACAUAUGCAUUUAAUUUUUGUUCGCAGACGAGAGCUUUUUAACAAAUGGCUAUUUGGAUCAAGUACUAGACUGGAUUCCAGGAAUGAAAGAUAUACGAUUGAGGGAUCUUCCAAGUUUUCUUCGUACAACAGAUCCAGACGAUUAUUUUUUCAACUGCUGCAUGGAAUGUGCUGAGAGAGCAUCUGAAGGUUCUGCAGUGAUUUUCCAUACUUUUGAUGCUUUGGAGAAAGAAGUCUUGAGUGCUCUUUACUCAAUGUUUCCUCGUGUCUACACGAUCGGUCCACUUCAAUUACUUCUCAAUCAAAUGAAAAAAGAUGAUCUAGAUUCUAUUGGAUAUAAUCUAUGGAAAGAAGAGGUUGAGUGUCUCCAAUGGCUUGAUUCCAAGAAACCAAACUCCGUCCUUUAUGUGAAUUUUGGUAGCAUAGCAGUCGCCACAAAGCAGCAGCUGAUUGAAUUGGGAAUGGGACUUGCUAAAAGUGGCCAUCCAUUUUUAUGGAUAAUAAGGCCUGACAUGGUCACAGGUGACUCCGCCAUAUUGCCACCGGAAUUUACUGACGAGACUAAAGACAGAGGAUUUAUUUCAAACUGGUGUCCGCAAGAGGAAGUUCUCAACCACCCAUCAAUAGGAGGUUUCCUAACACAUAGUGGAUGGAAUUCAACAGCUGAGAGCAUUUCUUCUGGGGUGCCCAUGCUUUGUUUGCCCUUCUUUGCUGAUCAACAAACGAACUGUAGGUACACUUGCAAUGAGUGGGCCAUUGGAAUGGAGAUUGAAAGCAAUGCGGAAAGAGAUGAAGUGGAGAAGCUUGUGCGAGAGUUGAUGGAAGGAGAGAAAGGUAGGGAGUUAAAGAAAAAAGUCAUGGAGUGGAGAAAAUUAGCAGAGGAAGCCGCUGGUCCAAGCGGGUCAUCAUCCAUGAAUUUAGACGAGAUGGUGAAGGCAGUGCUUUUGUCAUGAAACAUUGUAAGAGAAAACACAUUUGGAUCCUUCCUUUUUCAUUGAGCUUGGGCUACGCUCGAGUCCUGCCUUAGUGCUGGCUACACCUUGGCAUACUUGGAUUCUAUUUUUGUGUUGCGCAUAUAUAGCGCUUGGGUUGCCUACCUUGUAGCUUGGCAUACCCUAGCACACCCGUAGCACUGACACGCCAAGACUCAACUAUUCUUGGAUCCUGCAUGUUACAGAACGCAAAAUAAUCUUGAAUCAUUGGUUUUGUAAGGUCAAAAUAGCUUUGAAUUAUGCCAGUAUCAACAUCCAACUUAAAAUAAAAUAAGAAAAGAAAAGAAAAGAAGGUGAAUUCACGGUGUAGCGCAGAAUACCUAACUCCUAACUAGUGUGUGUAUUAUGCAUGGAUUUUGAUUUUGAUUUUGAUUUGGAUUAAGCCCUUUCAGAUCAAUUACCGAACAAAAAUAGGCCGAAGAUUCAAGAAAUUAAUUUUACAGAUAGUCCACAUAUGAUCCCUUAGCUUAGAUCCAUUAUAGCCCACCAACCCAGAGAUCAUAGAAACUUUGGCCCAUAUUAAAUCAUUUAUUUUCUAUGAGACUUGCUCAGUCCCUCUAACUUUCGAAGGAGCAAUACGACGAGUGUUUUUGCAAGUUACCGCAUUGAAUUUAUUUAUUUAUUUUGUUAAAAUGGUUAGAAAAUUAGCAUAACUGAAAAUAUCAGAAUUAAUAUUUGUGAUACAUUAGUCGAAGAUGUUAUCCGCCGACUCUAUUUUUUAUUUUAUUUUUGUAAAACUAGAACAACUACAUUAUUAACUUUAUAUUUCAUUAAAAAACUUUAAUAUAUAGAAGCUAGAUAAAAAAUGAGAUUAUAAUUGUUUUAGUCUAGCCCUGUUAGGUCCAUUUUAGGGAAAAGAAAGACCGAAGAGUAUGGUUCGUAUUAAUGGCCUUUUUACCAACCCACACACUUCAUAACUUCAAAGCACAACAUAAGGUAGUCUCCUUAUGUAUUGAUUGUACUAGACUAAAAAUGAACAAACUUGAGAGGACUCGAUAAUUAAUUGUCUUGUUUUAUAUUUGGUGUAUUUUAAAUGAAACUAAAAAAAUUAUCUUAUUUUAUACUUGAUAGAUAUUAAAUGAAACCUAACCGAUCCGGGGAUUGGAUCAAUCCAAGUUUAAAAAAAAAAUAAUAGAAUGAUUAAUCUGACCUCACCAGGUAAAAAAACCCAAUCAAACCUGAGAUAAAAUAUCAAUCAAAAUAUAUUGAUUUUUAUUUUAUUUUUUUGUUCAAAACAAGAUUGGUUUGAUUAUUUUAUAUUUUUAUAAAAAAAAUUGAUUUAUCAUGGGUUGACUCUUUCAACUUGUAAUUUGGAUUUUGUUUUGAGUUGAUUUUUAAAUUAGAUUUAAUAAUAAUAAUAAUAAUAAUAAUAAUAAUAAUAGUAUUAGUAAUAGUAGUAGUAGUAUAAUAGUGGUUGUGGUGCAGGAGGAGGAGGAGAUUUUGGAUAAAAUAAAAACCUGAUUUCAAUUCAUGUACCACACACCAAAUGCACCUAAUUACUUCACGAAACCACAUGAUUUGUCGAAGUAAAUCAAUCCGCGCUACCUUCAUCCUCAUCCCAACUAAUAGUAUGUCAUUCACUAUUGUCUAUGGCAUCUGUUUUUUAAAAUAAAAAAAUUAAGAAUAAUUAAUAAUUAAAUUUUAUAAUUUAUUUUAAUUAAUUUUAUAUGGGAUUAUUUUAGUAUAAUGAUAUGAGUUGCAAGUUUAAUAGGUUAACUUAAAUCAUUUUUAUAGUUUACUUUUUAUAAUGUUAUACUAGUCUCAUGACCCGAGUCAUAUGUUUGACGAGUUAACCCGGAUUUACUCGGGUUAUUUUUAUAUAUGUUUUGUAAUUGUUUUUUAAUUUUAUCAUUUAAUAUUGGGUUGAUUGAAAAUUAAACUUUGUGAUUUGUUUUGAUUUACUUUUUAUGAAAUUAACCUGACAUUAAUUCGAGUUGUGGGUAUGACAUAUGAAUUUGGGUUGACUUGAGUUUUUUUUUUUUUUUAAUUAUUUUAUUUUUAAUUUUAUCCUUUAAUAAAUAUUAGAUUGUUUGGGAAAUGAACUUCAUAAUUUAUUUUGAUUUUUUAUAUAUAAAGUUAUCAUAGUUUUAUGAUUCAGGUUCGUGUAUUUGAUAUGUUAACUCGGAUGGAUAUGAAUCAAUCUAAUAUGAUCUCAGAUUUAUUUUUUUAUUUUUAAUAUAAAUAUAUUAAAAUUAUAAAAAAUAUAUAAAUUUAAUAUUUUUUCAAGAUAAAUAAUAUUUUAAAAAACACUUGGAAGUAAGAGCAACAUUAAUUUCACGAUAUUUUUCAUGAAAAGAAGCGUGGCGUGUAGUGUUUGUGAAGGAUUCAGGCAGCAGGAACCCAAAUUCAUUGAACCAUUGGACGUAAAUAUGAUGUUUUGUCCUUGGGGAAAAUUAAUACCAAGCAAUCAUAUUUUGCCGUGAUUUCAACCCAGAUGAAAUGGCAAUUUCUACGUUCUUAUCAAAUGCAAUUGUAUACUCCGUUUGAUCAUUAAUUUGUCUUUGAUUGUUUCACGCCAUAAUAGACUGGAAAAAUAGUGUGCGGUCACAUCUCAUUCAUGAAUCGGAGUACAAAUACGUCCAAGCAGCAAGUUGAAUCAGCACAAUAUCCUGCAAAGAUAAUAAUUGACAGCCCUGAUUCUUGACUACAAAAAAAAAAAAUCUUGAGAUGUUGAUGGUGUUGUGAUUGGACACAAUGGACCAAACUUGAAGAUGAAAUUGAUGAUCUGUCCUCCUCCUUUCUUUUAUAAUGGACAGUAAAGUUAUAAAAUCUUAACUCAGUGGUUUUAUUCGAUGACCCCUUCACUCGGCGUUCAUGUUGAGGAUUCCGAUCAAUGAUGUGCACAAUAACAUAAUAUUUAACGUGGUUUGAAAAACCGUCUACAUCCAAGAAAGAAGAACCAAUAGUAUUAGAGAUAGAUAGAGAAAGGAUUAUAACAUACAUAAAGGAGAAGGAUUACUUCACUCAAACUUAACUCUUAUUGCUCUCACACACUGCUGCACAUGGCAGCAGGGCUGCUACCCUUGGCAACCACUCCUCUUUCUCUCUUCCUCUUUUCUCUUUUUAAAGACCAUGAUUUGUCAUAAAAAUCAUGUAUGUUAUGUUAGUUUAAUAUGUUUUGUAAUCAAUCAAUUGGUCACACAUGAUAUUACUAUAUUCAUGUAAAUAUAUAUUUAUUAUUAAUUAUAAAAACUUAAUUUAUCAAUGGAAUAAAAAUGAAUCUAGAAUAAAAAUAAAAUAAAUGUGAUAAGUUGUUAUAAUUAUGGAAUUUUUGUUAUACCAAAAUAUUGUUUCUAAAAUAUUCAUGGUCGAUACUCUUUUAAAUACUAGAUAUUUAUUAGAAUAUUAAGAUUAGAAUCUAUUAUAUUCUUUCAAAGCAACUGAUAUUACAAAUUGAGAUAUAAUGGAUAUUUUAAUAAUAACGCUGUUUCCGGCCUUUCUAAUGUCAAACGUUCUUCGCAUACGGCAGCCUGACAGUCAUAGACAACCACGAAAAUUCUCCCGUUAUCAACUGAUACAAAAGACAAUAAAUUCCAUGGCCGACAUCAGUCUAGAAUAGUGAUUUUAUUUAGAUUAAAAUUAAAAGAGAAGAUAAAAUCCAUAUUGUACCUCUAGUGGGCUGCUAUUUUAUAUAUAGAGUCUUGUUGAUAAGAGAAUGUAUCCUGUGUAAAGUGUUUGCUUCACUUUGAAAGACGACAGUAGCAAAACAAUUACUCUAAAGAAAGAGUUAGAGAAAGAAGGAAAGAGCUAGAGACAUGGUUCGCAAAAUCUUAGCAGACAAGCCUCAUGUAAUUUGUAUUCCUUGUCCAGGUCAAAGCCAUGUAAAGGCAAUGCUUAAACUAGCAAAACUACUGCAUUCCCGAGGUUUUCUCAUAACCUUUGUGAACACAGAGUUCAACCAUAGACGCAUGCUUAAAUCUAGAGGUCCUUAUUCCCUGAAUGGCUUGCCCGACUUUCGGUUCGAAUCUAUCCCAGAUGGCCUCCCUCCUUCAGAUGAGAAAGCUACCCAAGAU
rnacentral:lncRNA from 1 species